AUUGAACGCUGGCGGCAGGCCUAACACAUGCAAGUCGAACGAGUGGCGGACGGGUGAGUAAUGUCUGGGAAACUGCCUGAUGGAGGGGGAUAACUACUGGAAACGGUAGCUAAUACCGCAUACCAUCAGAUGUGCCAAGAUGGGAUUAGCUUGUUGGUGGGGUAACGGCUCACCAAAGCGACGAUCCAUAGCCGACCUGAGAGGGUGAUCGGCCACACUGGGACUGAGACACGGCCCAGACUCCUACGGGAGGCAGCAGUGGGGAAUAUUGCGCAAUGGGCGCAAGCCUGAUGCAGCCAUGCCGCGUGUAUGAAGAAGGCUUUCGGGUUGUAAAGUACUUUCAGCGGAGAGGCGUUACCCACAGAGGAAGCACCGGCUAACUCCGUGCCAGCAGCCGCGGUAAUAC
rnacentral:rRNA from 1 species